UGCAAUGUUAUUAUCACGUGAUCACCCAUUUCCGGCACGCUACUAGACAUCAGUCAUACAGUGUAGAAGUUUUGUUCCUGUAGUCCCCAGCCUAGAAAGCGUCAGGAUGAUGGCGCUGCGGCGCGGAGUUUGGAGGUUUCUCCAUGUCAAGCCACUUCUUCAUCGCCACAUGAGUGUGUGCUCUUCCUCCAGCUACAGAGCUGUGAUAUUUGACAUGUUUGGAGUGUUGAUCCCAUCACCGCUGCCUAAAGCAACAGAAUGGGAAGAUGAGAAUGGAGUCCCUCGUGGCACAAUAGGCCGAGCUAUAAGGGCAGCGGGCAAUAACAACUCCUGGAAGAAAUACAUGAGAGGAGAAUUGGGGCCAGAGGAGUUUGUGGAAGCCUUUAGUCAGGACUGCAGUCAAAUUGUAGGCUUCAAGGUCCAUAUUGGUUCUUUCCAUUCUGUGCUGACCAGUGACUCCAUGUCACAGCCGGUGACUGUUAUGAUGGAUGCUGUGCAGUGUGCUCGUGCUGAAGGGUUCAAGACUGCUGUUCUUAGCAACAACUUUCUCUUGCCUGGAGGAAAGUCCUACCUCCCUCUGGACACUUCUCUCUUUGAUGUUAUAAUAGAGUCCUGCAGAGUGGGUUUAUGUAAGCCAGAUCUCAGGAUCUAUCAGCUGUGUACCAAAAGACUGGGAGUCUCUCCUGACGAAGUGGUGUUUCUGGACGACUUGAGUUUCAAUGUGGAGGCUGCAGUACAAUUAGGAAUGCAUGGCAUCACGGUUAGAGAUCCUGGAUUGGCUGUGAAGGAGCUGGAGCAGGUGCUGAAGAUACCAUUGUCUGGCUAUAGGCCUGGACUGAAUUGGCAGCUCCCUAUCAACCCGCUUACUCAAUAUCUCAAGAAAGCUACUCAGCUUCCACUUACAGACCACAUUAUAAUGCAGCGACUGAGCCAGAGUGACUUGACUGAUUCCACAUACCUGUUGAGCUGUGGACAGCAUCGGUUUGUCCUGAAGAAGAAACCAAGUACUGAAGCUCUGCAGAAGGAAUGCAGGCUUCUCAGGGCCCUUAAAGAAGCCAAAGUCCCUGUACCAAGUGUUAUUGCCCAGCAUGAGAUGCCCAGCAAUGUUCUGGGAAGCCCAUUUUACCUGACAUUUUACUGUCCGGGUCGAGUGUUUAAUGACCACUCUAUACCAGGAGAAGAUACUCAUGGGAAGAGACAUGUAUAUAAGGCUAUGAUAAAAACCCUCUGCCAGAUACACAGAGUUGACCUGAAAACCACAGGUCUACAGAACCGUAGAGAUCCAGGUGACUUCAUGGAAACUCAAGUGAAAAAGUGGGCACAGCAGUUCAAGGCAAACGAGAUUCAGCCCAUUCCUGCUAUGGAUAGAUUGAUAGACUGGCUACUGUUGCAUCUCCCUAAACAUCAGAGAACCACACUGCUCCAUGGAAGUUUCAGCCUGAACAAUCUGGUGUUUGACUCAGAGACCCUUGAUGUUAGGGCAGUAUUGGGCUGGAGUCGUUCUACUGUAGGAGACCCACUUGUGGAUUUGGCUUCCUGUUGUAUGCCCCUCUUCCUUCCCCCUACUGCUUCUACACAACAAGCUUUUACAGGAAAGAAAUUUGCUCUGAUGGGUAUUCCAUCUGCAGAGGAAAUGUUUGAGCUGUAUUGCAAAGAAAUGGGAUUGGAGUACAUUUCAAACUGGCAGUUCUACAUGGCUUUCUGCUUCUUCCGCCAGGCUGCUAUCUUACAGACAAAUUGUAAAACAUCAUGCAAAGGCACUACAUACCCACGUGAAAUAGAAGACAUUGCAAACCUGGCGUGGGACUUUGCCACUAAAGAAGGCUUCCGUAUCUUUAAUGCUUUGCCUGGAGCAGCAAGCUUUUGAUAUGGUGGAGUCAGCAGUGCAGAGUAUAGGUAAGGUAAGUAGUGUGUCUAUGUGCUAUACAUGAGUGUACUGAUAAAUAAGUCUGUAUUAUGGCCUGAAUGUCCCUUUGCACUGGCAUGAGCACCCCACACAUCCCUGACCCACUGUUGCUGUGAGCUUGUUUUAUUAUUAUUAUUAUUAUUAUCAUUAUUAUUAUUGUUGUUAUUUUUAAAGAUGACCUCUUACGUAAUGUAAUAUGUGUUUUAUGUGAGUAUGUGUAUUCUAAAUAAGUCUUUAUAAAGUACACCCCAUGGAAAUUGGCUUUUUUUUUUUUAAUUACCUAUUUGGACAAGCAAACGUGAUCAUCUUUGAAAUAGAACCUAUUAAUAAAGUUCAUAUACUUGAACAAAACCACAUGGAAAAUUUGCUUUUUCAACAAUUUAUUCAACAGAUAUCAAUAGCUGUGAUAUUCUUCUGUGGAAAAAGUAAGUACAACCUUGGCCUCAGAAGCUAGUAUUGCCCCCUUUAGCAGAAAUAACUUCUUGUAGGCGAUUUGUAUAAUUGUCCACCAGGCUUGCUGGAAUUUUUGAAUACUCUUCCAUACAAUAUUCUUUCACUUGCAAGCUGUUAAAGGGUUUUCUUGCAUGUUCUGCCCAUUUCAAAUCCCCCCACAACAUUUCAAUGGGAUUCAAAUCCGGGCUUUGACUAGACCAUUCCAUAACCCUCUAUUUCUUCUUUCGCCAUUCCUUAGUGGAUUUGCUCGUGUGCUUAGGAUCAUUAUCCUGUUGAAAGAUCCACUUUUGGUUCAGCUUCAACUUUCGGACAGAUGGCCUGACAUUAUCAUCAAGCACUCUUUGAUAUGAUGCAGAAUUCAUAGUUCAGUCAGUGACUGAAAGCCUUCACAGUUGAACUCUAGAUCUUGGGAUGAUGACACCACACACCUCAAUAGCAGAGGAACACCAGACACUGGAUUUGAGAGGGAUAUAAAUAAGACGGGUUCCACCUGCACUCCCUGAGCAGGUUCUAAUGGACAAUGUCCAUUGUUAAAAGCGCUAUACAAAUAAAACUGAAUUGAAUAAGAUGCAAGAAUUUCAUUUACAUC